rnacentral:rRNA from 1 species
GACGAACGCUGGCGGCGUGCUUAACACAUGCAAGUCGAACGGAAAGGCCCUGCUUUUGUGGGGUGCUCGAGUGGCGAACGGGUGAGUAACACGUGAGUAACCUGCCCUUGACUUUGGGAUAACUUCAGGAAACUGGGGCUAAUACCGGAUAGGAGCUCCUGCUGCAUGGUGGGGGUUGGAACGUUUCGGCGGGUGGGGAUGGACUCGCGGCUUAUCAGCUUGCUGGUGGGGUAGUGGCUUACCAAGGCUUUGACGGGUAGCCGGCCUGAGAGGGUGACCGGCCACAUUGGGACUGAGGUACGGACCAGACUCCUACGGGAGGCAGCAGGGGGGAAUAUUGCACAAUGGGCGGAAGCCUGAGGCAGCAACGCCGCGUGCGGGAUGACGGCCUUCGGGUUGUAAACCGCUUUCGCCUGUGACGAAGCGUGAGUGACGGUAAUGGGUAAAGAAGCACCGGCUAACUACGUG